rnacentral:lncRNA from 1 species
GCUAGUGGUUAGAGCAGGGAGGGCUGGGAGCCCCACCCCUGCCAUGUCCGUGUGUCUGUCCGUACGUCGAUGUCUCCGUAUCUCUGCAGCUCAUGUUCACCCAAAAGACGGAUCGGAAGGUCGUGGUGCUGGGCUGCGACCAGCGCGACCCGGCCUGCGUGUUCUCCGUCCGCAGCUCUGUCCAGGUGUGUGUGUCCGUCUGUCUGUGCCUGUCCCCCGCCGUCUCUGCUCUGGCUGUCUGUGCUCGUCUGUGUCUGUGCCCCUUCCUGUCCCCCACCUCGACGGCUAGGAGGGGGCAGAGCCCAGGGCUCGGGGUGGGGGGCAGAGCCCGGGGGUGAGCAGUGUCAGGGUACCUGGGGUGGGGGUGGGGUGAACACCGCUCGUCGACCCCCUUGCUUUCUGUCUCCAGAGUUCCUUCGGACUGCAGAGAUCGAGGAGCCUGCCCCGAAGACGGGGGGACCGGCCGCCCCCCCGCCCCACUCAGCGCCCCCUCUCGCUCGAAGCCAACGACUCAGAUGUCCUGGCGUUGCAGCUUUCGGCCGGGGGCGACCGGCGCUGCGUGCCACUCAGACAUCUCAACGCCCCCUUGCACCCGCUGGGGGGCCCAUACAGCAGCGUGAGCUCCUGUGUCACCAAACUGGCCGAAAUGGAGCGGAUGGUGCGGGAGGCCAUGGCAGAGAGAGAGCGGCUGCUGCAGGCGCGGGUAAGAACCCAGGAGUCCUGGCCCACCUCUCGCCGACCCCCAGCUCUGACUCACCAGAGCCAGGGAGCGAACCCAGGAGUCCUGGCUCCCAGCCCCGUCUCUGAGCCAGGGAGCAAACCCAGGAGUCCUGGCUCACCUCUCGCCGACCCCCAGCUCUGACUCACCAGAGCCAGGGAGCGAACCCAGGAGUCCUGGCUCCCAGCCCCGUCUCUGAGCCAGGGAGCAAACCCAGGAGUCCUG